GGAGAGUGAUUUGGUUGAGUGACGUCGGCAGAGGGAAAGGAUACGCGGUGGAUUUUCUGUCGUUGUCCCUUCAUGCUGUAUCGAGGGACCGAGAGGCCUACCCAUUUCCUUACAUCUAUACUCAGAUUGAGACGGGUGAUGAGGAUGAUGAAGAGGAGUCCGAAGACUAAUAUUCAGAAAUAAAUGGUGAUUUGGUGUUGUCAAAAAUCACUGAAAUGAGACUUGUUCCUUCAGAUGCUGGAAAAUGUAUCCUUGCUGUCAUGCAUGCUUUGUAUUGUUUUCAUUGGUUGCAACAUUUUUAUGUAUCAAGUAUGCAUUACUGAAUUCCUGUUGUCCGCUUUCUCUUUAAUGCAAUUAUGUGUGUGUUUGUCAAAGUUGCAAAGAAUCUAAUACACUAGGCAGUUGUCUGCUAUGGAUUUUGUGAUGGCAUAAAAAUGCUUUCUCAUUAAUAUAACUAUAUUGUUCUAAUUGUCCUGCAAGUUCAUUGCAUGGAUCUGUGACUUAUUGAUUUCACUUUCUCAGACUUUGAUUGUCUUCUUAUCAAGUCUUCACAAAGAGAUCACAGGGUGGUGCCACUUCAUGUAAUUGGACAAGGAAAAAGACUGAUCAUUACUCAUUCUUGUGCAUUUGGUGUGGAUGUCUACAUACACUG